rnacentral:rRNA from 1 species
AUGAAUGCUGGCGGCGUGUCUAAGGCAUGCAAGUCGAACGGAUAUUUUAUUGUAGCAAUACUUUGAAAUAUUAGUGGCAAACGGGAGCGUAACACAUUGGUAACCUACCCCAGACUCGUGGAUAACGGUUGGAAACGACCGCUAAUACACGAUAUUGAUGAGGGGACGCAAGUCAUUCUCAUUGAAAGUUUUUCGGUCUGGGAGGGGCCUAUGGUCUAUCAGCUAGUUGGCGGGGUAACGGCCCACCAAGGCUAUGACAGAUACCAGGCGCGAGAGCGUGACCUGGCUCAUUGGAACUGAGACACUGUCCAAACACCUACGGGUGGCUGCAGUCGAGAAUAUUCCACAAUGCACGAAAGUGUGAUGGAGCGACGCCGCGUGUCAAAAGAAGGCCUUCGGGUCGUAAAUGACUUUUCUCAGGGACGAAUUUUGACGGUACCUGAGGAAUAAGGGGUUGCUAACUCUGU